UGAGUUAGUGGCGCACGGGUGAGUAAUGUAUAGUUAAUCUGCCCUACACUGGAGGACAACAGUUAGAAAUGACUGCUAAUACUCCAUACUCCUUCUUAACAUAAGUUAAGUCGGGAAAGUAGCUCUUAAUAAUGCAUAUAAAAUAGAUUUUAAAACAAAAAGCUAAAAAGAUAACAAUGAGCUUUUUUGAAGCUUUACAAAAGUAAAGCGAAAAAAAGCGAAGCAGUUAGCUUUUAAAGAUUUUUGUAAAAAUUCUAAAUUAUAUGAAAGUUUUCAAAUUAAAAAGAUUUUCUUUAAAAGAAAAUACUAAAAGUAAUUUUAAAACUUUUUUAUAUGUAUUAUUAAGAGCUCUCGGUGUAGGAUGAGACUAUAUUGUAUCAGCUAGUUGGUGAGGUAAUGGCUCACCAAGGCUAUGACGCAUAACUGGUCUGAGAGGAUGAUCAGUCACACUGGAACUGAGAC
rnacentral:rRNA from 1 species